AGGAAAGGCGAGGCUCUGCAUCUAGAUUUACCUCGUUCUCUUUUGUCUCCGCUUUUUUUUCACAUUUCCUUGCGACCCUGGCCCUUGAGCGACAAAAAGGGGAAGCCAAGGCUGGCCCGAGGAACGGAGAGGGCACAUGGCCUAGCCACAAGUGGAGCUUCUGCUCCGCCCGAAGGGAUGCGCUGGAGCGGCCUCUUCCUUCUGCCACGGUCUUUCUUUGCCAACUAGUAGGUGAGGGCCGAAAGGCCGCGGGCCGUGGAGCUCGGGCCGGGGAGACUCUUUUCUAGCCUCUUGGGUCCCGCUCCUCCCAAUUCCCUGGAGAGGCGUCGAGCUUGCUGGGAAGUGCCCUCGGGUAAGGGGCGCGGAGCCUCCUGCGGCGAUCCUCUGUCUUCGGGUCGCCUUAGCAGGACGCGGCAAGCGGGACACUGACCUGGCCGGAGUCCCGCGUUCUCUCACCAGCUGCUUUGUCCACGAGUUGCUGCUGGGCGUCAGGGGUCCCACGGCCCGGAGGGAUCUAGAGCAGGGGGGCUCGGGGUCCUUUCCAUACCCUCGGAUCCUCUCCCACUCUCUCCACGCCUCGACCCGGAGAUGAUUUCAGGCUCCAGAUCUCUUUCAUAAAUGGAAAGAGUUUUUUUGGUUUGUUUUGUCUUAAUUAUGUAGGUGUUGCAUGCUUGGAAGAGAAAAUUUAGAAAAUUAAUUGGAAAACCAUAAAGAUAGCUUUCUCGUGAUAGCCACAAGGCUUGCUCCCUCAUUCUGCUCAUAUGUCACCCCCUCAAGGAGGCCUUCCCCAGCUCUGUAAACAACCUGUGCUCGGCGUUAACUUUUCUCCCUAAUGUUUAUCACUACCUGACAUAUACGUGUUUCCCACGACUCAACGAUAAGUGUUCAUGAGGGCAGACACUUUUUAAUGCCCUAUGACAAGCACCUAGAAUUGUGCCUGGCACAUGGUAGAUGCUUAGUAAAUAUUUGUUUAAUGAAUGAAGGUAAAAAACAUUUCUAAUACGACCAUCCAGGAAUAAGUACUAUUCAUGUUUUAGUGUGUUCUUACAGUUUUACUGUUCAGACAGUUAUAUGCCUGUGAAUAUAUAUUAUAUAUGUGUGUAUAUAUAUAUAUAUAUAUAUAUAUAUAUUUUUUUUUUUUUUUUGAGACAGAGUCUCGCUCUGUCACCCAGGCUGGACUGCAGUGGCGCGAUCUUGGCUCACUGCAACCUCCGCCUCCUGGAUUCAAGCGAUUCUUCUGCCUCAGCCUCCCGAGUAGCUAGGAUUACAGGCAUGUGUCACCACGCCCGGCUAAUUUUGUAUUUUUAGUAGAGACGGGGUUUCUCCGUGUUGGUCAGGCUGGUCUCGAACUCCUGACCUCAGGUGAUCUGCCCGCCUCGGCCUCCCAAAGUGCUGAGAUUACAGACGUGAGCCACCGUGCCUGGCGGAAUUUUCAUAUUUUAAGUCCCCCACCCUUGGACAUUUAGAUUUUUUCCAUCUUUCUGUAUUUGCAGAUAUGCUUCUACGUACACCUUUAUUCAUUUGCUUGAACAUUUCCCUGAGAAAAACUAGAAAUGGAAUUGCCAGAUUACUUUGUGUACAUGUUUCCAAACUGUCCUCCAGAAAGAAUGUAAUGCUUUGAACUUCCACUUGAGAAUCAAAUGUUUACCUUCCUCUGUUCCUCCAGAUUUGGACAUUUACAGUGUUCAGCCGUUGUUGUGGCAUUCCAAUUCAAUUGGGAAACAGCUUGAUGUAGCGUCCCCAUAAGGUCCACAGUAAUUAAAUUUUUUUUUUUUUUUUUUGGUGCGGUAGUGCAAUUUCAUGGCUCACUGCAACCUCCACCUCCCAGGUUCAAGCGAUCCUCCCAUCUCAGCCUCCCUAGUAGCUGGGAUUACAGGUGCACGCCACCACACCAGGCUAAUUUUUGUAUUUUUAGUAGAGAUGGGGUUUCACCAGGUUAGCCAGGCUGGUCUUGAACUCCAGACCUCAAGGGAUCCGCCUGCCUCAGCUUUCCAAAGUGCUGGGAUUACAGGUGGAGACUGGACCUCAGAAGAGGGAGUGGGUGCCCCGAGAACUCACAGCUAGCGGACAGUGGAAAGGGCAGGAGCCGGACCAAGGUGAGGACAGUGGAACUGAAGGCCGCUGGUUACCUCUCCUGCCCUCCGCUGGCCACAGUGGAGAAGACAGCCCCUCCCUCCUGCUCUGACCUGACAGUGUUCAUCCAUCGCCCUGUAUUAGCGAAGAACAACAUCAAGCUGGCUAGCAAGGAACUGUAUACAGGGUCCAGCUGGGUAUCACACUGGAUCUCACCCAAAGCUUAGAUGUGAUCCAGCUCAGUAUCACAAAGCAGAACGAAAAGGAUGUGUUUGGGCUGAGAGGCCAUACAUUGGUAAGUGGCACAUGAACUGUAUUUUCUAUUGAGCAUUGCUGGUAUAUGGCAAAUUUGCAUAAAAUUAUAUUGAAAUUGACUACCGGAUUGCACUUUCUUGUUCCUUCUGAUAAUUUUUCACGUGUUCUUUUUCUUUCUUACUUUAGAUGGAGUCUUGCUCUGUCGCCCAGGCUGGAGUCCAGUGGCGCGAUCUCGGUUCACUGCAAGCUCUGCCUCCCGAGUUCAUGCCAUUCUCCUGCCUCAGCCUCCUGAGUAGCUGGGACUACAGGCACCUGCCACCACGGCUGGCUAAUUUUUUUUUUUUUUUUUUUGAAAUGGAGUCUUGCUCUGUUGCCCAGGCUGGAGUGCAGUGGCGCGAUCUCAGCUCACUGCAAACUCCGCCUCCCGAGUUCAUGCCAUUCUCUUGCCUCAGCCUCCCGAGUAGCUGGGACUACAGGAGCCCACCACCAUGCCCGGCUAAUUUUUUGUAUUUUUAGUAGAGACGGGGUUUCACCAUGUUAGCCAGCAUGGUCUCUAUCUCCUGACCUCGUGAUCCACCUGCCUCGGCCUCUUUUUUAUAUUUUUAGUAGAGAUUUCACUGUGUUAACCAGGAUGGCCUCGCUCUCCUGACCUCAUGAUCUGCCCGCUUCAGCCUCCCAAAGUGCUGGGAUUACAGGCGUGAGCCACCGCGCCCGGUUAUUUGUUUAUUUAUUUAUUUAUUUUUUGAGACCGAGUCUUGCUCUGUAGCCCAGGCUGGAGUGCAGUGGCGCCAUCUUGGCUCACUGCAACCUCCACCUCCCACAUUGAAGCAGUUCUCCUGCCUCAGCCUCCCAAGUAACUGGGAUUACAGGAGCACACCACCACAUCUGGCUAAUUUUUUGUAUUUUUAGUAGAGAUGGGGUUUCACCAUGUUCGCUAGGCUGGUCUGAAACUCCUGACCUCAUGAUCCACCCGCCUUGGCCUCCCAAAGUGCUGGGAUUACAGGCAAUUCUGCUGCCUCAGCCUCCCAAGUAGCUGUGAUUACAGGUGUGUGCCACCAUGCCCGGCUAAUUUUUGUAUUUUUAGUAGAGACGAGGUUUUGCCAUGUUGCCCAAGCUGGUCUCAAACUCCUGACCUCAAGUGAUCUACCCGCCUUGGUCUCCUAAAGUGUUAAGAUUACAGGCAUGAGCCAUCGGGACCGGCCCACUGUUUUUUCUCGCUAGAAAAUACAGUCUAAAGUGGCCAGGUGCGGUGGCUCACGCCUGUAACCAUCCUGGCUAACACGGUGAAACCCCAGCUCUACUAAAAAUACAAAAAAUAAGCCGGACGUGGUGGCAGGCACCUUGUCCCAGCUACUCGGCAGGCUGAGGCAGGAGAAUGGCGUGAACCCAGGAUGCGGAGGUUGCAGUGAGCUGAGAACACGCCACUGCACUCCAGUCUGGAUGACAGAGCAAUACUCCGUCUCACAAAAAAGAAAAUAUAGUCUAUAAAUAAUGAAGAAAGUAAAGUGAACCUGGGAGGUGGAGGUUAUAGUGAGCUGAGAUCAUGGCACUGCACUUCAGCCUGGGCAGCAGCAAGACUCCGUCUCAAAAAAAAAAAAAAAAAAGAAAUAUGCGAGCUGCUAAGCUAGGCAGUUCUGGCUCAAGAUCUCUCAUGAUACUGCAGACACCACACCAACGAGGACCCCAGUCCUCUGGCACUGGAGGACCCACUUAGAAGGCGGAUGACUCACGUGGCUCUUGGCAGGAGACCUCAGUUCCUCCCCACAUAGGCCUCCCUAUAGGACUGCUUGAGUGUCCCGUUUACCAAAUGAUCUAAAUAUGUUCCGGUUUUGAUUGGCUGCUCUGCAAUGUGGGCCGUUAUCUAGCUGAUUCGGUGGGGCCUGAAGUGUCAGUUCCUGCCGCAGGGAUGUUAUAUGGAACCUUUGGCAGGCCGCUACAGACGAAUCAUAAUAUAAACCUGUGCUAGUUAUUGAUUACGUCCCAGCUCCUGCGUUGCCUGCUCUGUGAAAUGGUUCUGGCCCUUUAGUUUUUCCUUUACCAGCUGGCAUGAUCUUAAGCUUUGUCAGUAGAGGGCGCUGGAGAGACAUUGCAGGAGACGAGUUUCCCUUCCUGCUUCUGGUGUGUUCUCUCUAGGCUCCGGCAUGACGGGUGACUUCUUCCGAGUCUGGCUUCUGCAGCACACAGGGCUUCGCCAGCACCCAGCUCCUGCAGCAUGGGCAGCUCCUGUGACAGCAGGCGCCCGCAGCCUGCAAAGCGUCUCCAGUGCCGCCGCCUCAGUGAACCUCAACCAGCGGCACCUAGCAGCUUUCUCUGCCACCCUCUUCAGGUAGUUCUGUAGCAGCGCGUUUCUCAUGAGACACUUCCCUGUGAGCAGCUUUUUCUACCCUUGAGGAUGGAUUUCCAGCAAAUUCUGCCCAUGUGGUACCACAGCCACUUCUCUGCCAUUCAGUGAAACUGCCGUUGUGCCCUCUUCAAGGUCUGGAUCUAAGCCCAGGGACCAGGAAACCUCUUGCUUGAGUGCUGGAACUCAGGCCAGAAGGACAUCCCUGUAGAAGUUCUGCUGCGUGUGGUCCAGCCGUCCCCACUCCUCCCGGGAGAGGUACAAGGCCACAUCCUCGAAAGUCACUGGCAUCUGAAACAAUGUGAAACAUCCACUCUCCAGGACAUGACGUGGACACGGUGGAGGGACACCAUGGCAUGAGAUGUGUGGUGAGACCCCGGACUCCCAACCCACUGUGUCGAGUGAGGCCUGCCACUUCCAUCUGAUCGGGAAGCAGGUGAGCCACCCAAGGCCUUCUGGGGAGUUGAGAAAGAACAAAGACCAAGAGGUAUUUUCAGGGAUCACAGUUAAGACUUAGGAUGUCCAUGCAGCCCCCAGCCUCAGCUGAGACCUCGGAGGACGGUUCCCAACGGCUACCAGCGAGAGGCCCUGUGUCUCUAAUUCCUGCUGCUUCUCCUCCAGCUUUGGCCCAGGCCUGACCAUGGGCCUUGAGCCUGGACAAUUCCAGCAACACUAGCAAGAGCCCCAGGCUUCAGGCU
rnacentral:lncRNA from 1 species